GCGCUCAUAGCUCAGCUGGAUAGAGCACUUGGCUACGAACUAAGGGGUCGGGAGUUCGAAUCUCUCUGAGUGAA
rnacentral:tRNA from 1 species